GACGGUGGCGAGGCCAGAGAGCCCUCAAAUUCCAACCCGAAGAGACGAUGGGGACACGCUCCUCCCGAUCACAGAUUGGAAACUGAGGCCCAGAGAGGGCAACUGCCUUGCUUGAGGUCACAUAGCGAGUUAGAAGUAGGGCUUGGUCUGGACCCAGGGGCGUUUUGACUCCCCAAGCUCCAGUCCUCAGGCAGGUCAAUUUCCUCUCUCAGCCCUGGUUUCUUCAUCUGUGCAACACACUUAUUUACCAAGGACCUCUUCUAUUCAAGACCAUGAAGAGACAUAAAUUAGACAUAGUCCCUAGCCUCAAGGAGCCCACCAAUAGAGGGAGUCUGCAGAUGGCUUGGCACAUGUGGACCCACCUUAUGCCUGACACAGAAUGCUAUCAGUAACUGCUGAAUGACCAAGCAGAUGAAUGGAUGAAGUAUCCAUAAGACCAAAUCUCUCCCUGGCUUUGCCUUCCAAUGAAAGGAAGUCUUGGAACAAGAUGCCCCUCUCUUGCCACACACACUCUGCCUCCCCCACCUUUGUUUUUAAUCCAGUACUGCUGCAUUUUUCAAGUUCUCUCCAUUUUCUCCGGCCACCAAGCCUUUGCAUGUGCUGUUCCUUCUACCUGAAACUCCCUCUGCCCUUGCUAAUUCCUCCUUCUCCACGUCUUUGCUUCAAUGUUUUGGCUGUGAGUUGCCCUGAUUGUUCCCCCAAAGCCCCAUGUUCUCACCUAAGUCACCACCUUCCUUCCUACUUGAAGUGUGAGCUCCUUGAUGCAGAGGCCGUAUCAACUUCAUUUCUGCUUCUCCAGCACCCA